rnacentral:rRNA from 1 species
CGCUACAACGCCGAAAUGACCUUCUCCACCCUUGUGUACUCACAAUGUGGCUUUGGCGGGUCGACCUGGGUUCCGACCCAGGCGGCCGGCGCCCCCAUCCUUAACUGGCCAGGACGCCCGGUAAGUGCCCGCCAGUAUACAAAACUCAAGAAUUCAUUUUGUGAAGUCCUGAUAUAUCAUUUAAUUGAUUAAAACUUUCAACAACGGAUCUNUUGGUUCUGGCAUCGAUGAAGAACGCAGCGAAAUGCGAUAAGUAAUGUGAAUUGCAGAAUUCAGUGAAUCAUCGAAUCUUUGAACGCACAUUGCGCCCUCUGGUAUUCCGGAGGGCAUGCCUGUUCGAGCGUCAUUUCAACCCUCAAGCUCUGCUUGGUAUUGGGCAACGUCCGCUGCCGGACGUGCCUUGAAGACCUCGGCGACGGCGUCCUAGCCUCGAGCGUAGUAGUAAAAUAUCUCGCUUUGGAGUGCUGGGCGACGGCCGCCGGACAAUCGACCUUCGGUCUAUUUUUCCCAAGG